rnacentral:rRNA from 1 species
GGGCGCAAGCCUGACGGAGCAAGACCGCGUGAGGGAGGAAGGCUCUUGGGUUGUAAACCUCUUUUAUCAGGGAAGAAGAUCUGACGGUACCUGAUGAAUCAGCAUCGGCUAACUCCGUGCCAGCAGCCGCGGUAAUACGGAGGAUGCAAGCGUUAUCCGGAUUUAUUGGGCGUAAAGCGUCCGCAGGUGGUUUUUCAAGUCUGCUGUUAAAGCGCGAGGCUUAACUUCGUACAGGCAGUGGAAACUGGAAGACUUGAGUAUGGUAGGGGUAGCGGGAAUUCCCAGUGUAGCGGUGAAAUGCGUAGAUAUUGGGAAGAACACCAGCGGCGAAAGCGCGCUACUGGGCCAUUACUGACACUCAUGGACGAAAGCUAGGGGAGCGAAUGGGAUUAGAUA